rnacentral:rRNA from 1 species
GAUGAACGCUGGCGGCGUGCCUAAUACAUGCAAGUCGAGCGAACAGACGAGGAGUUUGCUCCUCUGACGUUAGCGGCGGACGGGUGAGUAACACGUGGAUAACCUACCUAUAAGACUGGGAUAACUUCGGGAAACCGGAGCUAAUACCGAAUAAUAUAUUGAACCGCAUGGUUCAAUAGUGAAAGACGGUUUUGCUGUCACUUAUAGAUGGAUCCGCGCCGCAUUAGCUAGUUGGUAAGGUAACGGUUUACCAAGGCAACGAUGCGUAGCCGACCUGGGAGGGUGAUCGGGCACACUGGAACUGAGACAGGGUCCAGACUCCUACGGGAGGCAGCAGUAGGGGAGCUUCCGCAAAGGGCGAAAGCCUGACGGAGCAGCGCCGAGUGAGUGAUGAAGGUCUUCGGAUCGUAAAACUCUGUUAUUAGGGAAGAACAAAUGUGUAAGUAACUAUGCGCGUCUUGACGGUACCUAAUCAGAAAGCCACGGCUAACUACGUG